GGGUGGAAAGCUAAGGCCUUUGAAGACCUGGGACCCCGUAGUUUCGGGAGAGGGUGAGGGGUGAAUGGUGCUGAGGUGCGAGGAGAGGGAAGGACAGUAAAGAGCAGGUGGGCAGGAGGGUCUCCGACUCCAGAGACCUGAGCUUUUGGGGCGCGGGUGGGAGCGCGGGGGAACCCUCAAGACGGCUUUCUUUUGGCGACUGAGGGUUUUUCUGCCACAGGAAGCUGGGCCGGGCUGCUGUGCCUGGGAGGAGGGAAGGAGGAAUGAGAAAGCGGUGACGGUCCCUGCCCCCCCUCGCCAGGUGACUGUCCCACCCAUUUAGUUGAAUGUAGCGGCCAGAGAGGCACUCGCGGCAGCCCGUACGGGUGGGACCUCUCGGUGUCCUUCGGGAAACAGGAGGAGCAAGUUCGACUCCAGCGAGGGAAAACGGAGGUGGGAGACUGAACCAUCUCCACAUCUAGUUGCCCCAGCCUCACCAGAAGUCUUUCAUCUCGGUGGUCCAACUCAGGAUCUCAGCCUCAUUAUUUUCUUACCCUUCUGGAGUGCAUAUGUGCCUUUACAGUUUCUGUUUGCAAACGCUGUCUAGCAUACUAAGAGGAUGUUAGCAAACCUGUUCCAUGGACACUAAAUGGCAGUUGUACAUCUCCCCUCAUCAGUCAUAGUGACAACCAGAAAUGCCCUCCAUAUUUUCCAGUGAUCCCAGUCUUCAAUGCGUCUGUCUCAUAAUUUGUAAACGUUUAUUAUCUUGAAGUCAUUGUUAAUCUGUGGUGAAAAGUAAUUGCUAAAUAGAAAUUCUGAGAAGAAAAAGGCCUCAUCCUUUUCACAUGAUGUAGGAAGGUCUGUUGCAUGAGCAAUGGGAAAUCCAGAAAACAUAGAAGAUGCAUAUGUUGCUGUUAUUCGUCCAAAGAAUACUGCCAGUCUCAAUUCUCGGGAAUACAGAGCUAAGUCAUAUGAAAUUUUGUUGCAUGAAGUUCCCAUUGAAGGACAG
rnacentral:lncRNA from 1 species